UCUCACUAUCCGAAUAAAUAGCAGUAAAUUACACUAAUUUCCUCCAGCCGAAUCCGUUUCACGCGUCGUUAUCUCAAUUCGCGAGGUUUUACACCUUGUUUUCCGUUUCUGUUUUCCUGCUGAGGAGGGGCCGCGGGGACCUUGGUUGCCUGAGGCUCCUCUCAGUCGAACCCCGAGCAGGCAUCUUCCUUGUCAGGGCUUCAGAGGGUGAUUUAGGCCUGGUGUUUGUAAGCAGAAUUUUCUGCUGAAGAUAAUAUUUAGGAAGAACACCUCUAUGCUGCCAGUUUUGGGAGUCUAACAGCCUGAGUGUGCAAAUGAAGGCAAUAGAGGCCUUUACCCAGAGUGCAGAAGAAAGAGAGCAGACUUCUGUGUGCAUGGUCAGGUCAUGCAAAAAAAGCUGGAUACUGGCCACAGAUGCAGAGUGUUUUCAGACCUCUCUCCAGCAUCACUGCUCAUCUAACUGACACACACUUGAGGGAAGAGAUACCUUCACAGGCUUGAGAAGUGAGCCAGUACGAAUCUCCUGAAGUUCAACAAGGCCAAGUGAAAGGUCAUGCACCUGGAUUGUAGCAGUCAUCAUUUUCAAUGCUGGCUUGGUGGUGAAUGGAUUGAGAGCAACCCUGCAGAGAAGGACCUAGGUAUACCGCUGGAUCAAAAAUUACAUAUCAACCAGUGAUGUGUGUAUGCAGCCUAGAAAGCAAAUUUUACCCUGAGCUUCAUAAAAAAAAGUGUGCUCAGACUUUCCUCCACUGCAGCCCUUUGCACUGUUGUCAUACCUGUCCAGCCCACGCUAAAUAGCUUGUUCAUUUCCUCCCAACCUUCUCACCAAACAAGUCCAAGCCUUACCCGUCUGAAUUUCCAGUCUCAAAUGCCCAGUAUAUACCUCCUCUAACAAGUCAUGUUCCUUAAUUAAUAUUCUCUCCCCUUCCCACUCCUACCUGUCUAUGCUUAAUGCUAUAUUUCUGCUUUUAUUCCUGGUUUCUCAUUAAAAAUUGUCGAGCUAUAUGCAGUGAAUUUAUCCCUACUUUUAUUUUGAGAAGAGCUGUAACUUUCUUGGGCAAGAACUUCCAGAAAAAAAUCAGCUACAAUCAAAUGCUAUCAAGGCCAGGCUUUACAAGUUUAUUAAUACAGUAAUAACACUUGUGUGUAGUAAAUCAUAGGAAGUCAGUGCUUGAAGUGCUAGAUUCCACUACACCGUAAAUAAUCCAUUGAACCAAAGGGAAAUAGCCAAAUGAACAAAAGAGGCAGAAUCUUUCUGUAAUACAAAUUAGAAACAUAUACCUCACAGUUGGGCUGAUUUUGAAAGAAGAUGCUGGAAAUGUGAUAAAAGUGCAACAAACAAUAAAGAGUGACAUAUGAAGUGAUCUGUCAUUUCUAGUCAGAGUUCCAGCCUCAGUAAGCUGCAAGAUAGA